rnacentral:rRNA from 1 species
GACGAACGCUGGCGGCGCGCUUAACACAUGCAAGUCGAACGGCGAGGGGGAGCUUUCUUUUUCUAGCCGAGUGGCGACCGGGUGAGUAACCCGUGAGGAACCUGCCCAAAAGGGGGGGACAACGUUGGGAAACGAUGGCUAAUACCGAAUAGGCCCACGGGCUGCAUUGAACCGGGGGGAAAGGAGCAAAUCGCCUUGAGAUGGCCUCGCCUCCGAUUAGCGAGUUGGUGAGGUAACCGCCCCACAAGGUAACGAUCGGGAGCCGGACGGAGGGGUUGAACGGCCACAUUGGGACUGAGGCACGGCCCAGACUCCUACGGGAGGCAGCAGUGGGGAAUAUUGCACAAGGGGGGAAACCCUGAUGCAGCGACGCCGCGUGGAGGAAGAAGGUCUUCGGAUUGUAAACUCCUGUUGUUGAGGAAGAUAAUGACGGUACUCAACAAGGAAGUGACGGCUAACUACGUG